rnacentral:tRNA from 1 species
GAACAUGAAGAUCAACAGGAUGAUCACCAGAUUCCGAUUCUGGAGGCAGUUAGGUUCGAGCCCUACCAUGUUCGCCA